GGUUAAGCGACUAAGCGUACACGGUGGAUGCCCUGGCAGUCAGAGGCGAUGAAGGGCGUGCUAAUCUGCGAUAAGCGCCGGUAAGGUGAUAUGAACCGUUAUAACCGGCGAUACCCGAAUGGGGAAACCCAGUGUGACUCGUCACACUAUCAUUAACUGAAUCCAUAGGUUAAUGAGGCGAACCGGGGGAACUGAAACAUCUAAGUACCCCGAGGAAAAGAAAUCAACCGAGAUUCCCCCAGUAGCGGCGAGCGAACGGGGAGGAGCCCAGAGCCUGAAUCAGCAUGUGUGUUAGUGGAAGCGUCUGGAAAGGCGCGCGAUACAGGGUGACAGCCCCGUACACAAAAGCGCAUGUGCUGUGAGCUCGAUGAGUAGGGCGGGACACGUGGUAUCCUGUCUGAAUAUGGGGGGACCAUCCUCCAAGGCUAAAUACUCCUGACUGACCGAUAGUGAACCAGUACCGUGAGGGAAAGGCGAAAAGAACCCCGGCGAGGGGAGUGAAAAAGAACCUGAAACCGUGUACGUACAAGCAGUGGGAGCCCCACCACCAAAGCAUUUGCUGUACCGCGUUGACGGAGCGAAGCGACGUCAAACCGAUAAAACAGCAGUGUAAAGUGAGCCGCAGGGCGCUUUGCGCGACAGCGCAAAGGCAGGCGGUUUCGCGUAGCGAAAGCGAAUGCUUUGGGGUGGGGUGACUGCGUACCUUUUGUAUAAUGGGUCAGCGACUUAUAUUCUGUAGCAAGGUUAACCGAAUAGGGGAGCCGGAGGGAAACCGAGUCUUAAUUGGGCGUUAAGUUGCAGGGUAUAGACCCGAAACCCGGUGAUCUAGCCAUGGGCAGGUUGAAGGUUGGGUAACACUAACUGGAGGACCGAACCGACUAAUGUUGAAAAAUUAGCGGAUGACCUGUGGCUGGGGGUGAAAGGCCAAUCAAACCGGGAGAUAGCUGGUUCUCCCCGAAAGCUAUUUAGGUAGCGCCUCGUGAAUUCAUCUCCGGGGGUAGAGCACUGUUUCGGCUAGGGGGCCAUCCCGGCUUACCAACCCGAUGCAAACUGCGAAUACCGGAGAAUGUUAUCACGGGAGACACACGGCGGGUGCUAACGUCCGUCGUGAAGAGGGAAACAACCCAGACCGCCAGCUAAGGUCCCAAAGUCAUGGUUAAGUGGGAAACGAUGUGGGAAGGCCCAGACAGCCAGGAUGUUGGCUUAGAAGCAGCCAUCAUUUAAAGAAAGCGUAAUAGCUCACUGGUCGAGUCGGCCUGCGCGGAAGAUGUAACGGGGCUAAACCAUGCACCGAAGCUGCGGCAGCGACACUGUGUGUUGUUGGGUAGGGGAGCGUUCUGUAAGCCUGCGAAGGUGGCCUGUGAGGGUUGCUGGAGGUAUCAGAAGUGCGAAUGCUGACAUAAGUAACGAUAAAGCGGGUGAAAAGCCCGCUCGCCGGAAGACCAAGGGUUCCUGUCCAACGUUAAUCGGGGCAGGGUGAGUCGACCCCUAAGGCGAGGCCGAAAGGCGUAGUCGAUGGGAAACGGGUUAAUAUUCCCGUACUUGGUGUUACUGCGAAGGGGGGACGGAGAAGGCUAUGUUGGCCGGGCGACGGUUGUCCCGGUUUAAGCGUGUAGGUGUGUGUUCCAGGUAAAUCCGGUUCACUUUAACACUGAGGCGUGACGACGAGGCACUACGGUGCUGAAGCAACAAAUGCCCUGCUUCCAGGAAAAGCCUCUAAGCAUCAGGUAACAUCAAAUCGUACCCCAAACCGACACAGGUGGUCAGGUAGAGAAUACCAAGGCGCUUGAGAGAACUCGGGUGAAGGAACUAGGCAAAAUGGUGCCGUAACUUCGGGAGAAGGCACGCUGACACGUAGGUGAAGUGAUUUACUCAUGGAGCUGAAGUCAGUCGAAGAUACCAGCUGGCUGCAACUGUUUAUUAAAAACACAGCACUGUGCAAACACGAAAGUGGACGUAUACGGUGUGACGCCUGCCCGGUGCCGGAAGGUUAAUUGAUGGGGUCAGCGCAAGCGAAGCUCCUGAUCGAAGCCCCGGUAAACGGCGGCCGUAACUAUAACGGUCCUAAGGUAGCGAAAUUCCUUGUCGGGUAAGUUCCGACCUGCACGAAUGGCGUAAUGAUGGCCAGGCUGUCUCCACCCGAGACUCAGUGAAAUUGAACUCGCUGUGAAGAUGCAGUGUACCCGCGGCAAGACGGAAAGACCCCGUGAACCUUUACUAUAGCUUGACACUGAACAUUGAGCCUUGAUGUGUAGGAUAGGUGGGAGGCUUUGAAGUGUGGACGCCAGUCUGCAUGGAGCCGACCUUGAAAUACCACCCUUUAAUGUUUGAUGUUCUAACGUGGACCCGUUACCCGGGUUGCGGACAGUGUCUGGUGGGUAGUUUGACUGGGGCGGUCUCCUCCUAAAGAGUAACGGAGGAGCACGAAGGUUGGCUAAUCCUGGUCGGACAUCAGGAGGUUAGUGCAAUGGCAUAAGCCAGCUUGACUGCGAGCGUGACGGCGCGAGCAGGUGCGAAAGCAGGUCAUAGUGAUCCGGUGGUUCUGAAUGGAAGGGCCAUCGCUCAACGGAUAAAAGGUACUCCGGGGAUAACAGGCUGAUACCGCCCAAGAGUUCAUAUCGACGGCGGUGUUUGGCACCUCGAUGUCGGCUCAUCACAUCCUGGGGCUGAAGUAGGUCCCAAGGGUAUGGCUGUUCGCCAUUUAAAGUGGUACGCGAGCUGGGUUUAGAACGUCGUGAGACAGUUCGGUCCCUAUCUGCCGUGGGCGCUGGAGAACUGAGGGGGGCUGCUCCUAGUACGAGAGGACCGGAGUGGACGCAUCACUGGUGUUCGGGUUGUCAUGCCAAUGGCACUGCCCGGUAGCUAAAUGCGGAAGAGAUAAGUGCUGAAAGCAUCUAAGCACGAAACUUGCCCCGAGAUGAGUUCUCCCUGAGACUUAGAGUCUCCUGAAGGAACGUUGAAGACGACGACGUUGAUAGGCCGGGUGUGUAAGCGCAGCGAUGCGUUGAGCUAACCGGUACUAAUGAACCGUGAGGCUUAACCUU
rnacentral:rRNA from 3 species